GGCGAGAUAGCUCAUCGGGAAGAGCGCCUGUUCGAAGCACAGGGCGUGGCUGGUUCGAGUCCGGCUCUCGCCG
rnacentral:tRNA from 1 species